rnacentral:rRNA from 1 species
UACGUAGGGGGGCAAGCGUUGUCCGGAUUUAUUGGGCGUAAAGAGCUCGUAGGCGGUUCGGUAAGUCAGGUGUGAAACCUCCAGGCUCAACCUGGAGACGCCACCUGAUACUGCUGUGACUCGAGUCCGGUAGGGGAGCGUGGAAUUCCUGGUGUAGCGGUGAAAUGCGCAGAUAUCAGGAGGAACACCGGUGGCGAAGGCGGUUCUCUGGGCCUUACCUGACGCUGAGGCACGAAAGCCAGGGGAGCAAACAGG